GACGAACCGUGCUAACGUUGUUCGGAAUCACUGGGCUUAAAGGGCGCGUAGGCGGUUUACCAAGUCGGGGGUGAAAUCUUUCGGCUCAACCGGAAAAGGGCCUUCGAUACUGGUAAACUAGAGCGAGGUAGGGGCAGAUGGAACUUCCGGUGGAGCGGUGAAAUGUGUUGAUAUCGGAAGGAACGCCGGUGGCGAAAGCGAUCUGCUGGACCUCUUCUGACGCUGAGGCGCGAAAGCCAGGGGAGCAAACGGG
rnacentral:rRNA from 1 species